rnacentral:sRNA from 1 species
CACCUGACUAAAGAGAUGGGAACCUUACUGCCAAAUGCGACUUCCUAUAGAGAGCUUGUUGGACGAUUGUUAUACUUGUGCAUUACUCGUCCUGAUAUAACUUUUGCAGUACAUACUUUGAGUCAGUUUCUCUCUGCACCAACUGACAUUCAUAUGCAAGCUGCUCACAAGGUUCUGCGAUAUCUCAAAGGUAAUCCUGGUCAGGGUUUGAUGUAUUCUGCUUCUUCUGAGUUGUGUUUAAAUGGUUUCUCAGAUGCUGAUUGGGGUACUUGCAAAGAUUCAAGGAGAUCUGUUACUGGUUUUUGCAUUUAUCUUGGUACAUCUUUGAUUACAUGGAAGAGUAAGAAGCAAUCUGUGGUUAGUCGGAGUAGUACAGAAUCUGAAUAUAGAAGCUUAGCACAAGCCACUUGUGAGAUUAUCUGGUUGCAACAGCUGCUCAAAGACUUGCAUGUGACUAUGACUUGUCCGGCUAAACUCUUUUGCGACAACAAAUCUGCACUACACUUGGCGACGAAUCCAGUCUUUCAUGAGCGUACCAAGCAUAUUGAAAUCGACUGUCACACUGUAAGAGACCAAAUCAAGGCUGGAAAACUGAAGACUCUACAUGUUCCAACAGGAAACCAGCUUGCAGACAUUCUAACCAAGCCACUUCACCCAGGUCCUUUCCAUAGUUUACUCAAACGCAUGUCAUUAUCAAAUCUUUAUCUCCCUCUUCAACAGCAAGGAAGAUAAGAUUUGAGGGGGGUGUAUUGGUGAUUGGUUUAAUCUGGUUAACUCCGGUUAUCUAGAUACUGGUUUAAUAUCAUUUAUCUUGUGUAUAUAUAAACUAAACCUUAGUUUAUUUUGUUGAUGAACGUUGUAACAAACACUUAAUUCUGUUAAUAACGAUUCAGUUCAAUCUCCGAUCUUCUCUCUUCUUUUCCGUUUCACCGGAACUUCGCCGGUGUUAAUAGUGGAGGCAGCAGAAGCUUGGAUGCCUAGUGUAGCUAUGUCGAUUGUUGUGGAUAUUAGUAGAGUAUCAGAUUCGGUAGCUCAAAAUGCAAAUUUGAGUCGGAGUUGGGUACGAGCACUCAAGAUGAAAAUAUCUUUGCAAGAUUGAAGAAGGUGGCUCAAGUUGGAGAUAUAGAAAGACUCUACGAGUUGAUAGCGGAAGAUCCAAACAUUUUAGACCACUUUGAUCAAGUAUCUUUUUGUGAGACGCCACUACACAUUGCAGCUGAAAAAGGGCAAACUCAUUUCGCCAUGGAACUAAUGACUCUUAAGCCGUCUCUUGCUUUGAAGCUAAACGUGUUAGGUUUCAGCCCACUGCAUUUAGCCUUACAAAACAACCACAUUCGAACGGUGAGAGGGUUAGUGGCAAUCAACAGCAGCUUAGUUAGCAUCAAGGGAAGAGGAAUGAUUACUCCUUUGCAUCAUGUGGCUCGAAUAGGAGAUGCGGAAUUGUUGAGUGAGUUCUUGUUUGCUUGUCCUUCUUCUAUAAACGAUUUGACGAGUAAGUGUGAGACAGAAGAUUGCAAUCUUCAGGCCAGCUCGAGCUCCGGUGAAACCUUGAUGAUUUCCUUUUGCUGCUUCCUCUUCACGCACCAGAAGAGGCAGCCACCAACCACCAGUAGGGCAAAGAUGCCCAACAAGAUCAGGUAGAAUUGUCCUGGUAGCAAUAAUAGAUAGGAUCCAUCAUAUUUGGUCCGCUCUCCAUCUAAAAAUUUAUCUAGAUAUUGUUCUUAAUCUUUGUUCUAAGAAGUGUUUGAUUCAAUAAACAUAUCUUGGUUGCUCAAUGAUGUCUUUCCGAGGAGUCAAGAAGUAGAGCGCAAAUUUCGAUUGGAAAUUGUUUCGCUGAGUUUGUUUUAUGAAGUAAUGGUUUGUUUUGUUUUGAACUUUGAAGGGUAACUAACAGUCUAAUAAAUCUUAGUGCUCUAACACUAAAUUAGUUAUACUUUAGGACACAAGUAAAGUAUAACUAACUGUCUAAUAAGUCUUAGUGCUCUAACACUAAAUUUCCACAAUCCAUCUCUUGAUAUCUUCACGUCAUUCACCGGCCAGCUCGAGCUCCGGUAAAAUCUUGAUGAUUUGUUUCUGCUGCUAGCUUCCUCUUCACGCACCAGAAGAGCGUGAAGAGGAAGCAACCAACCACAAGUAGGGCAAGGAUGCCAACAAAAUCAGGUAGAAUUGUCCUCGUGGGAUAGGAUCUGUAACAUCUAGUCCGCCCAUCUACAAAAACAUCUACAAAAAGUUAAUAUUAGGCUAAUGGGAUUACCCCUUUGAUAUUUAAUGGAUGUCUCUUGGCGCAGUGUUUUUGAAGACACUCGGUCAUUCCGGCGUUUCGUUUAUUAGAUGAUAUUUCAGUUAUUUUUGGAUAUUUUGGAUAUUUUCUAGUAUUUACUAUUUUUAUAUAUUUAUCAAGUAUUUUGGAUUAUUUGGUCUAUAAAUAACUAAUAUUUUUAGAUAUAUAAUUAUAUUUCGAAUAUUUUCAUAUAUCCAAAAUAUUUUGGUUCUUUCGGUUAUAGAAUUUGGUAUUCAUUCGGUUAUUUUCAAAUUUUUGGUUCGAUUCGGUUAAUGACCUAAAUUGCUACUAAUGAGAUAACUCCCAAUUGUUCUUCUUUCAUGGAGUAUCAUAUAAAUCUCAAAUGGUUUAUGCAUGGGUUCACAUGCAAGAGGCAUAGCGAUCAAAAAUUAAUCAAAAAUUACAUAUCUUAAUUUUACGUGAGUUAUUGGUCAAUUAGAUAUUGACAUGUAUGAAAUUAUUUCUUUUAAAAAAAUUUUUAGCAUGGAUAUUAAUUAAUUACAAUUAAUAUUGAAAUUCAAAAUAGCAAUAUAAAUGAUUUAACAUUGAUUUAAUUGGAUAAAAAGUUGUAUUUAUCGUUAUAAU